GAAAAAAGGAAAAGAAAAGAGAAAAGAAAAAGAAGAGGCAGCAACUUGAAAAAACGUCAACGCUCGUGAUUCUUCUUCUUUUU
rnacentral:ribozyme from 1 species